CCAAACUUAAUUCAAAACUUACUGAAGUAUGCAUGCAUUAGUGUUACUAUGUAGGAAGACAUAGAAUGUCAUUCUAUGGUAAGAAUGAGGAGAACUUACAAUCUGUUCUGGAGGCAUAAUAUUAUGAAAAUUGGUUUCCUUGUCUAGAAAUCUUGAAUUGGUGGAUUUCAUGACUUCUAUCUGUGUUGAGAAUUGAGCAGAGACAGGCCGAUGAUCAGAAAACUUACUUUCACUGCGAAAGUAAGAUAAAAGUUUCACUCCUUUUCCAUACCACAGAAUUCUAUCACACCUGCGACCAGACACAUACAUCGAUCAUGCUAGUAGUUGAUUGCAAAACAUAUACCAUGCUGGAGUCCUUUGUUUCUCUCCUGAUCUGUUGGGAAGGCCACCCGAGUAACGAUUGCAAUUUGAUGAAGAAUACUUGUAUGUUGGUGCAAAUUUGAUGUUCCCUUCUCUCCAACCUUCAAACACUCCUCCAUCUUCUUGUUCCUUUCGAAGCUGAUCGAAACCCUGCAGUGCUUUCCAGUCUUGCUUCUUUAUCAGAUCCCUAGCUAAAUUGUCUUCCAAGUCUAGCCUAUAGUUGAGAUCUCCGAACCAGAAUAUCUGACUGUCUCCACAAGAAUUAUGAUAAUUGAAUUAGGAGUUUUCAUUUAACUAAUCUGCAUAAAGUUUACAUAAUCACCUUUAUGUAACUGUUUUGCAUUUUGAGCCAAAGUGUACCUUAAAAACCUUGUUGAAACUAGACAAAGAAAUUGUAUGAAACAAACCAUUGAAGUCUUGAAA